UACAGAGGGGGCAAGCGUUGUUCGGAAUUACUGGGCGUAAAGGGCGCGUAGGCGGCCUUCUAAGUCAGACGUGAAAUCCCUCGGCUCAACCGGGGAACUGCGUCUGAGACUGGAAGGCUUGAAUUCGGGAGAGGGAUGUGGAAUUCCAGGUGUAGCGGUGAAAUGCGUAGAUAUCUGGAGGAACACCGGUGGCGAAGGCGGCAUCCUGGACCGAUAUUGACGCUGAUGCGCGAAAGCCAGGGGAGCAAACGGG
rnacentral:rRNA from 1 species